rnacentral:rRNA from 1 species
GGUUGCCUCGGAUCAGGU